rnacentral:rRNA from 1 species
UACGUAGGGGGCAAGCGUUGUCCGGAAUCAUUGGGCGUAAAGAGCGCGUAGGCGGCCCUGUAAGUCCGCUGUGAAAGUCAAGGGCUCAACCCUUGAAUGCCGGUGGAUACUGCAGGGCUAGAGUCCGGAAGAGGCGAGUGGAAUUCCUGGUGUAGCGGUGAAAUGCGCAGAUAUCAGGAGGAACACCAGUGGCGAAGGCGGAACUCUGGGCCGGAACUGACGCUGAGGAGCGAAAGCGUGGGGAGCGAACAGG